UACGGAGGAUGCAAGCGUUAUCCGGAAUGAUUGGGCGUAAAGCGUCCGCAGGUGGCUGUGUAAGUCUGCUGUCAAAGAGCGAAGCUCAACUUCGUAAAGGCAGUGGAAACUACACGGCUAGAGUGCGUUCGGGGCAGAGGGAAUUCCUGGUGUAGCGGUGAAAUGCGUAGAUAUCUGGAGGAACACCGGUGGCGAAGGCGGCAUCCUGGACCGGCAUUGACGCUGAGGCGCGAAAGCCAGGGGAGCAAACGGG
rnacentral:rRNA from 1 species